CACCGCGGUUAUACGAGGGACUCGAAUUGACAUUACACGGCGUAAAGCGUGAUUAGAGAAAAAAUAAACUAAAGCCGAACACCCCUCUAGCUGUUAUACGCUAACGGGGACACGAAGCCCCACAACGAAAGUGGCCUUAAAGACCUUGAACUCACGACUAUUAAGAAA
rnacentral:rRNA from 1 species